rnacentral:rRNA from 1 species
UACGUAGGGUGCAAGCGUUGUCCGGAAUUAUUGGGCGUAAAGAGCUCGUAGGCGGUCUGUUGCGUCCGCUGUGAAAACUCGGGGCUUAACCCCGGGCCUGCAGUGGGUACGGGCAGACUAGAGUGCGGUAGGGGAGACUGGAAUUCCUGGUGUAGCGGUGAAAUGCGCAGAUAUCAGGAAGAACACCAGUGGCGAAGGCGACACACUGGGCCAUUACUGACGCUGAGGCGCGAAAGCGUGGGGAGCAAACAGG